UGCUGGGAGGUUGUUGCUGGCUCCUUUGGGGGCAUGUGCACGCCUUUUACCUUUCUUUCCACCUGUGCACCGUUUGUAGGCAGAGCCUAUGAUUUUACAUACUCGAUAACAUAUGUGUAUUGGUUGGCUCUUAAUAUAAAUACAACUUUCAACAAUGGAUCUCUUGGUUCUCGCAUCGAUGAAGAACGCAGCGAAAUGCGAUAAGUAAUGUGAAUUGCAGAUCUCAGUGAAUCAUCGAAUCUUUGAACGCACCUUGCGCCCUUUGGUAUUCCAAAGGGCAUGCCUGUUUGAGUGUCAUUAAAUUCUCAAAGUUUAUGUUUUUAAGCUUUGGAUUUGAAGAUUGCUGGCUUACUCCAGAGUCAGCUUCUUUGAAAUGCAUUAGUAGGAUCAUCAUGCUGGAUCGAUACAGGUGUGAUAAGUUAUCACCAUCUGAGAUUAGGCAAGAACCUGCUCAUAACUCUUUCUUUGACCUUUGACCUCAAAUCAGGUAAGACUACCCGCUGAACUUAAGCAUAUC
rnacentral:rRNA from 1 species